GUCUUUCUGGAAGGUUAGAAAGUCGGGCCUGCCCACUGAGGAAUUGAAGGGCCGCGGUAUUUUGACUGUGCAAAGGUAGCAUAAUCAUUAGUCUUUUAAUUGAAGGCUUGUAUGAAUGGUUUGACGAGACGUAGACUGUCUUAUUAUGAUUUAUAUAAUUUAACUUUUGAGUCAAAAGGCUUAAAUGAGUAUAGAGGACGAGAAGACCCUAUAGAGCUUGAUAUUGAUAUUUAAGUAGUUUUGUGGGUGAGUUAAGAUUGUUUAGGUAUUUAUAUUUUGUUGGGGUGACAUGGAGAUAAAAUAAACUCUUUAAUGAAAAGAACAUGAAUUAAUGGGUAGAUGAUCCAGUAAUAUUGAUUGUUAGAUGAAGUUACCUUAGGGAUAACAGCGUAAUUUUUUUUAAGAGUUCAUAUCAACAAAAAAGAUUGCGACCUCGAUGUUGGAUUAGGAUAAUAGCUGGGUGCAGUAGUUCAGUUAAUAGGUCUGUUCGACCUUUAAAUUCUUACA
rnacentral:rRNA from 1 species